rnacentral:rRNA from 1 species
AUGCUGCUUGCAGGACUGAUCGGCGGGCGACCAAGCCCGGCCGGGCGGCCAACGGAAGGAGCAAAGCAGAAGGAAUUAAGCGCUGUCGAUCUUGAGGGUCUCGACGAACCUCCGGUACGCCUUGACGUUGGUGGGCAGGAAGUCGAGGAAGUCAUGGAAGCUGCUCUCCCUGUACAUCCUCGGGUGGCGCUCGUCGACGAGCUCCUCGGCGCACCCGACCUUCUCGUCCAUGGCCGCGCCGUGGAUGCUGGCGAUGGAGAUCCUCGCCUCGUCGGUGUUGAGGAUGGCCCGGUGCAGGAGGGACCUGAGCCGCCCGUUGCUCAGCACCUCCAGGUGGUCGCCGAGGUCGACGUGGAGCGCCCCCGGGAUGGCCGGGACGGGCGUCCAGACGCCGCCGUCGUCGUGGUGCGUCACCUCGAGCCCCGGCGAGCUCUGCAGCAGGAUGGUGAUGAAGCCAAUGUCGGAGUGCGGCGCCAGCCCGACCGUGUCGCCCGCCCGGGACGACCCCUGCGGGUAGUUGUUGAGCCCCAUGAACUGCAUCCCUGCUCCGAGCUUCUCCUGCAGGUGCAUUGGGCAUAG